rnacentral:lncRNA from 13 species
AUGGUCAGCAGAACUGGGAGUGGUUGGCUACACUUUAUGGCUCACAACUGUAAUCCCAGCACUUUGAGAGGCCAAGGUUUCACCUGUGCACACGAUGGUGAGAGUGAGGCUGAAUUAAUACCUGACAACUUUGAAGAAAAACCAGAGAGGGAAAAGAAGCAUACCAACUUUACUUUGUGCAACGUAUGUAACAUUCAGCUGAAUUCAGCCGCUCAAGCUCAAAUCCACUACAAUGGCAAAUCACAUCAAAAGAGAUUGAAACAACUCAGCAACGGGAUGCUGAAAAAUGACAAUGGUAAGCUUUUCUAAAAAUAUUUUCUCUAUUUUACAUCAUCAACUUAAGUUAUUUAUGUACCUGCAGAUGUGAUGAUAAAAGAAUGAACUAAAUUAUUUUAAACCAGGAAAAAUCUUACAUAAAAGCUUUAUCAGCAGAGUACUUUAAAAUACAUCAUUUCUCUUUGAGAGAGAAGGAGAAAUUUUAUUUGUCAUAUAUACUUAAUUGUAUUAGGGUUGUGACCUGCAGAAAAAUUUACUAUAAUUUGAAAAAGUUGAUUUUAGAGUUUCUUAAUGUAUGCCUUUAAUGUGUGUUUUCAGACAGUGUGUUUUUGUAUUUUAUUUUUUAUUUCCUGCAGGUAUAGGGGAUUCUGUUGGUUAGUAACACUGCAACUGAUUUGAAGUAAUGCAUAUAUUUUCAAAUAUGUGGUUUAGUCAAUAAAUGAUGAUCUAUUAGUAUAGACUUUUAAGUU